rnacentral:rRNA from 1 species
AUGAGUGGUGGUGACAGCGGAAGUGACAAGGCUCACCGCGCCUUCGACAAGAACAACACCGCUGCUGUGAACCGCGAGUACUCCUCCUCUGGUACUAUCGCUCCCCCUUGUGAUGCUUGUCAGAUCUGCCAUCUACCUGGGAAUUUUACUGUUAGAUGCCCUCAGGCUUUCUGUGAGAGAUGUAAGAAGAGAGGUCACCUGUCUUUUGUCUGUAAUGAGUUCUUCCCUUGGGAUCACACACCUGUGAUGUGUGCCUUUCAAUCUAAGGGUCAGGGUUUCUUUUACAUUCCUGAUUACAGCGUGGAUAGGCAGAGUAGGGAAAAUGUUUUCAAUAUUGUUGUCACCAUUACUGAUGGCUCUUCUUAGACCAAAAAUAUUGAGCACGAGUUGAGUGUGUACGUUGGUCAGGGGUGGCGUUGCUCUGCUAGAUUUUUUGCUCCACAAAAGUUUGUCAUGAGGAUGCUGAACCCUAGAGAGGUUGACAGAGCUCUUUUUGUUGAAAAUAUUAAGCUAAAAAAAUGUGGGGUUAGUGUCAAGUUCUCUCCUUGGUCUGAAGAUAUUGAGUCUGAGGGACUGUUAGAGAUUGCAUGGGUUAAAAUUGGAAAAAUUCCACCUAACAAGAGAUGUGACAGAACUGUUGCUUAUGUGGGAGGG